UUACGACCAUAAAGUGUUGAAGCACUGGUUACUGUAUGAUUACCGAAGUUAAGCAACACUGAGCCUGAUCAAUACCAAGAUGGGUGACCACUUGGGAAUACCAGUUGCUGUAAG